rnacentral:tRNA from 1 species
UGGCUCGGUGGUGAAAGCGUUCGGCUGCUAAUUGAAAGGCUGGUGGUUUGAAUCCACC